rnacentral:lncRNA from 1 species
AUGUGUUUAAAAGUUUUGUCAUGUGUGGCUUCAUGUACAAUUGUGUUAAAUACUCGGUUUAGGUAGCAUUGGGUCAGGUUUGGUAAUCGGGUUUCGGUUAAAAAAGGUAAAAACAUAAGUGCCUUUAUUUCUUUGGGAUUAUGGUAAAAAAAUGGUUUGGCUCAACUCAUUUCUUCAUAAGUGUUAGUUCGUUCUUUCAUCUUCUUGGGAACAUGAUGUAUACUGUCUAUCAUUUCCAUUAAUAUAUCAACAUAUAUAUAAUUAAAAUAUUUAUGUCAACAAUGUUAAAGUAGUUAUUUUUGGAUGUGGAUUAGCACAAUGCUAAUCUGUUUUUUUAAUAAAAUUUGAUUUGUUGGUUGUUUAAAAAAAGGAAAUAUAUCUCAAUUAUCUUCUUUUAAUGUGUUUAAAAGUUUUGUUGUGGAAAGUUUUUGUUAUGUUUUUACUUAGGUCAUGUGUGGCUUCAUGUACAAUUGUGUUAAAUACUCGGUUUAAGUAGCAUUGGGUCAGGUUUGGUAAUCGGGUUUCGGUUAAAAAAGGUAAAAACAUAAGUGCCUUUAUUUCUUUGGGAUUAUGGUAAAAAAAGUGGUUUGGCUCAACUCAUUUCUUCAUAAGUGCUUUGGCUUAACCGAUACCGUAUCGCAUAGCAUAGGGGUGCACAUGUAAAGAAAAGGAAGGAGGCGCC